CUGAGCUUGUAAUCUUGUCUUGGUUACAUCACUCUUCGUGCCUUCACUGCCAUUCUUUGUCUUGGUUACACAUCACUCUUCGUGCCUUCACUGCCAUUCUUUGUCUUGGUUACACAUCACUCUUCGUGCCUUCACUGCCAUUCUUCGUCUUGGUUACACAUCACUCUUCGUGCCUUCACUGCCAUUCUUCUUACUCCUCACUUGUUUCUCCCUGUGCUUCUUUGACUGCCCGUGAUUCUCCCAUUGCUUCUCACUCUUAAACUUCUCCCCACACGCCACACAAUACAACUCCUCCUUCUCUACUGCUUUCUCCUCCUUUUCAUCCCAAUCAUCCCUUUCUUGUUCUUCAACUUUCGCCCAUUCUGG
rnacentral:lncRNA from 1 species